UCAGGAUGUCUUCAGUUCAGUCAUUUUGACUGAUCAGGCAAAAGAUAAAACCGUAGCAUGCUACAGUUUUAUCUCCGGGCGAAAAAAACUGAAGACUUGCCGGAAUGCCGUAUCCGGAAUUUUUCCUAUAGGAAUGUAUAAGUGCCAAAUCCACCUUUUGC